rnacentral:rRNA from 1 species
CCUUAGUGGCGGACGGGUGAGUAACGCGUGGAUAACCUGCCUUACACUGGGGGAUAACACUUAGAAAUAGGUGCUAAUACCGCAUAAGCGCACGGUUCCGCAUGGAACAGUGUGAAAAACUCCGGUGGUAUACGAUGGAUCCGCGUCUGAUUAGCCAGUUGGCGGGGUAACGGCCCACCAAAGCGACGAUCAGUAGCCGGCCUGAGAGGGUGAACGGCCACAUUGGGACUGAGACACGGCCCAAACUCCUACGGAAGGCAGCAG